GACGAACGCUGGCGGCGUGCUUAACACAUGCAAGUCGAACGGUGAACCAGAGCUUGCUCUGGGGAUCAGUGGCGAACGGGUGAGUAACACGUGGGCAACCUGCCCCAGACUCUGGGAUAACCUCGGGAAACCGAUGCUAAUACCGGAUACGACCACUUCGGACAUCCGACGGUGGUGGAAAGUUUUUCGGUCUGGGAUGGGCCCGCGGCCUAUCAGCUAGUUGGUGGGGUAAUGGCCUACCAAGGCGACGACGGGUAGCCGGCCUGAGAGGGCGACCGGCCACACUGGAACUGAGACACGGUCCAGACUCCUACGGGAGGCAGCAGUGGGGAAUAUUGCACAAUGGGCGAAAGCCUGAUGCAGCGACGCCGCGUGAGGGACGACGGGCCUUCGGGUUGUAACCGUCUUCAAUAGGACGAAGCGCAAGUGACGGUACCUACUAGAAGAAGGACCGG
rnacentral:rRNA from 1 species